GAUGAACGCUAGCGGCAGGCCUAACACAUGCAAGUCGAGGGGCAGCACAAAAGGUAGCUUGCUAUCUUUGGUGGCGACCGGCGCACGGGUGCGUAACGCGUAUGCAACCUACCCAUAACAGGGGGAUAACACUGAGAAAUUGGUACUAAUACCCCAUAACAUCAGAUGUGGCAUCACAUUUGGUUGAAAACUCCGGUGGUUAUGGAUGGGCAUGCGUUGUAUUAGCUAGUUGGUGAGGUAACGGCUCACCAAGGCGACGAUACAUAGGGGGACUGAGAGGUUAACCCCCCACAUUGGGACUGAGACACGGACCAAACGCCUACGGGAGGCAGCAGUGAGGAAUAUUGGUCAAUGGACGCAAGUCUGAACCAGCCAUGCCGCGUGCAGGAUGACGGCUCUAUGAGUUGUAAACUGCUUUUGUAUAAGGGUAAACCCAGGUACGUGUACCUGGCUGAAAGUACUAUACGAAUAAGGAUCGGCUAACUCCGUGCCAGCCGCCGCAGUAACAC
rnacentral:rRNA from 1 species